CUUCAGUCUCUGCUUUUGUGUUCAUGAAUUGGAAUGUGUGUUGUUCUCAGCUGAACUUCUAUGCUUCUGUGUUUCACAGCAAUUAACAUCCCUGACAUCCUAUCUCAAGAUAAGAUUUUCAUCUCAGAAGAUUCAUAGGAAGUGAAUUGCAGUCUCAUAAUUAAGUCAGCUUUUUGAUAAUGACCCAUUCUAACAAGGGCUAAAGGAAGCCCAUUUCUUUCCAGUUACUAGCCUCGCUAGUCUUUGCAAUUUACAUAAUAAGUGGAGUGCUAUCAACAACAUCACCUGAGUAUCUCAAGAUUUUGAAGGUUUUUGGAAAGCUAAUUAGCUAGAUAUAAGUAACCCAAGUCAUCUUGGAAGAAUGGGAAGUAGCUGCAGUAUGCAGACUUAAUGUACAGUGUUUUGUUUUUAAUUAGACUUUAUAUGUGAAACAGUCAAGGAUUUAUAAGGAAAAGGUGAGAGGAUCUGGAAAGUCCUGAAAGUUCCUCAUGAGUGUAGCUUGGCAUGGUGUUCAUGUUCUGUGCCAAAGCGUGUGUUAGCAACAGCAUGUCUGCUGUCUCACUAUUCACGUGGUGGUUGUAUCCAUCCUUUGUUCAUUCAAAAAGAACAGUCAAGUUUCUGCUUUCCUGUCUGCCCAGAAGAUAUUUCUCUGCUCCCUAAGUACACACAGAAGGUACCACAGACACCCAAAUUCUGCAAGGCAGAUUUAAGACCCCAUUUGCCCAAAGGAAAUUUGCAGCUGGAUAUCAGAGUGCAACUCUGAGGACAACACUGGAGAUUUCAGGUUCAGAGAAGCAGAACAUACCCAUCCUCUACAUCCUAUGCAGUUGGCUUGCUCCCAAGACUAUACUGAGAUCUUUCUAAAUGGCAUUGCUACAGACAGUAGAGAUUUAUUUAAAAUACUUCUGAUAGGAAGCAUGUCAAAAGCACUUCUCUACUGCUUGAGAAUGACAGCUGCAAAUUGAUAUCUGGAUCUUUCACCAGCUGGAGGUCCCUGACCUGUUCUGUGUGAGAAGACUACACAGGACAAAUAUCCUUUUCUUUUAUGACUUUAAUAGCUUUGGACUCUAUAAGAUGAAAAUUGAAAGUUUAGUGUGAAUAGCAUUUGGUAAAAGUCAAUUAAUAUGUGUUGCAACUAGAGUUUAGAGAAAACAACUCAACCCAAAAGAAUUUAAAAGUGGAACAUACUAACCAUUUAUUUAUUUAUUUAUUUAUUUAUUUAUUUUUCUCAUCACUGUGUAAGCUAGCACAUCUGACAAAGAAAGUUUGGAGGAUAAAAGAAGUUGAAAUAUCGUCUUCCUGGUGCAUUUGACUGAUUCUUUCCAAACUUUAGUUUUAUUACUGAGGGUUCCAGGUUUUAUUUUAUUUAGCACUUGAAUAUUUUAUGUUCAGUAUUAGUCUUCCCUUCAAGUGACUGGGCUUAUGUACAAGUUUUUAUUUGCAGAACAGUGUCCAGCUGGCCACAUGGAGACUGAAUGAGAGCUCUGUUGGUUACAUAUUUCAAGUUCAAGUUAAUCUUUAA
rnacentral:lncRNA from 1 species